GAGAAAGUAAUGUAUGAACUGCUAACUCUGCACUCCGUAUAUAAAAAUACGGCUAUCUCA
rnacentral:tRNA from 1 species